GCGCGGUAUGGCCAAGGAAGAGAAACGCGAGUGACUGUCGUGGCUCUCGCCGGACACGAACGGCGCUUGCGCCGGGCUGGUCUGCUUAUAGCUGUUGCUACUCCAGACUCGACGACAAGUGCUAUCCUCAUGAGGCCAGACAAGUCGUUGUGCCAAUCCAGCGAGAGUGUCCAACAGCGGAAAGUCAUCUGAAGAAUCAUGUCCCAGUGAGUAGUCCAGCUCCAGCAACAAGACCACAUCUGGCUUCCACCAAGAAGCUGGACCAGCGGCAUUGUACUCAGGUAAGCUCAUGAAUUUUUUUGCAAUCCAGACAUGGCAGAGUCAAAUUUAUACUAAUAGCUAACAUCAGCUUACUGUGGUUUAUA